GUGCUCACUUUAUACCAACUACUGAAAGUGGAAUGAUACAGAGAAGGUUAGCAUGGCUCCUGGGCGAGUAUGACAUGCAAAUUUGUUUUU
rnacentral:snRNA from 1 species